rnacentral:tRNA from 1 species
GGGCUCGUGGUCUAGUGGCAUGACGGAUCCUUGGCGAUGAAUGCAAAAUUAAUGCUUUCACUUGAAUGGAUCAAAUUGGGGGUUCGAUUCCCCCCGAGUCCA